rnacentral:rRNA from 1 species
UACGUAGGGGGCAAGCGUUGUCCGGAUUUAUUGGGCGUAAAGAGCGUGUAGGCGGCCAGGCAGGUCUGCUGUGAAAACUCGAGGCUUAACCUCGAGCUGUCGGCGGAAACCAUCUGGCUAGAGUCCGGAAGAGGAGAAUGGGAUUCCCGGUGUAGCGGUGAAAUGCGCAGAUAUCGGGAAGAACACCCGUGGCGAAGGCGGUUCUCUGGGACGGUACUGACGCUGAGACGCGAAAGCGUGGGGAGCGAACAGG